rfam:Triticum aestivum genome assembly, contig: Triticum_aestivum_CS42_TGACv1_scaffold_330238_4BS
GAUGUACUCCCUCUGUCCGAAAAUACUUGUCAUCAAAAUGGAUAAAAAUGUAUGUAUCUAAAACUAAAUUAUGUCUAGAUACAUCUUCUUUUAUCCAUUUUGAUGACAAGUAUUUCCGGGCGGAGGGAGUAUAUA